ACUUAAGGGGAAGGUUUGACUUAUUUAUCCUCCACUAUAUAUAGCUAUUAAGGUUUGGAUCCCUUGAUUUUUAAUUUUCACGUAUGUGUAGCUAUUAAGGCUUCCUUUGCAUUCUUCUACAACCUUACUCUAACUUUUGAUGAGGAAAAUUAUGGAAUAGCUUGUGAUCUUAAUUCCAAAGGCUACCAUGUUUUGUCCAAAGCAACUGAAGUAGUUGGGCAUGUGAAGCCUUACUCAAUUACUGGAAGUUUGCCACUCAUUCGGGAGCUACAGGAUGAAGGUUUUGAUGUCCAAACUGCUGGAUAUGGUCUAAUGGCUACAUACCAUGCCCAGAAUGAGUACUGCCUUUUUACGGAUAUGUCUCAAGGGUAUCGAGUUUUUGCAAGCAUCAUCGCUCAGUUAGAGGAAGAUUGAGACUACUAGUUGAACUUCAUUCAAGCAUUCCACGGCCUAUAAAUAUGUCAUUGCUGCUAAAGCUGAAGGAAGACCUUAAGUGACUCUGUAUUCAUUGUAUGUAUGAAGUAGAAGUUUGGUGGUAUUGAUUUCUACACUAGUCUUACGAAAAUAGUUGACUUAGUACACUAUUAUCUAAGUUAUAUGUUGUUUUAUACUAUUACUAAUAUGUAUUUUCUU